ensembl:lncRNA
CCGCUCUCAGUGUCUGUUAUUCAGAUAACAGUGGUGGAACGGGACUGAUCUGGAGCAGACGGGUUCAGUUCUAACUCGCUGCAUGAAGGGUUUAAUAUGGGGUGUAGUGAAAGGUUCCAGGUUUGGGAAUCACUGUGCUGGUUCUGACUGGCUUUGAGAAGGUCUGUGUUCUGCACUCAUCUGUCUGAAUUCUUCCUGUUUUGUGCUUCUGUAUGUGUGAAUCUCAUCAUCCUUUCAGCAGGACCGAGCUGAGCCACGCUGCUGAUCCUAACGAGCUGAACACAAGGGCUUUGGACUGCAUUUUUGAUCCAGAUGGACUGAUUUCAGUCUUCUUCAUCCCUGGUUCUGCGCUGGAGGAUGUUUUUGAACUCGGUUGCGCUACAGAAACAGAAGCUCGCUUUAGGAAUGAAGAAAGCCACGUCAUUGUAAAGUUCUGUAGUAAUAUUUCUGUAAAAUGUAAACUAAAUGCACUCGUUCUAAUACGUUAUCGUUACUAUAGUAACCGCUCAUUCACAGGGACUUUAAGUCUUGUAACGUCAGUAAUUUUCUGCCAUGGGAAAGUCUU